rnacentral:rRNA from 1 species
AGAGUUUGAUCCUGGCUCAGGAUGAACGCUGGCGGAAUGCUUAACACAUGCAAGUCUACUUGAAAGUUCCUUCGGGAAUGAUUAGAGUGGCGGACGGGUGAGUAACGCGUGAAUAACCUGCCCAACAGACUGGGAUAACUUCUCGAAAGGGGAGCUAAAACCGGAUAUUAUAUAUUUAUGGCAUCAUAGAUAUAUGAAACACUACAUGUGCUGUUGGAGGGGUUCGCGUCCUAUUAGCUAGUUGGAGAGGUAAUGGCUCCCCAAGGCGACGAUAGGUAGCCGGCCUGAUAGGGUGAUCGGCCACAAGGGAACUGAGACACGGUCCUUACUCCUACGGGAGGCAGCAGUGGGAAUAUUGCGCAAUGGAGGAAACUCUGACGCAGCAAUUCCGCGUGGAUGAUGAAGGUUUUCGGAUUGUAAAGUCCUUUCAGCAGGGAAGAAGCAAGUGACGGUACCUGCAGAAGAAGCCACGGCUAAUUACGUGCCAGCAGCCGCGGUAAGACGUAAGUGGCAAGCGUUAUCCGGAUUUACUGGGCGUAAAGGGCGCGUAGGCGGCAAAUCAAGUCAGAGGUGAAAAGUCAGGGCUCAACAUUGGCCUUGCCUUUGAAACUGGUUAGCUAGAGUACGGGAGAGGAGGGCGGAACUACCAGUGUAGCGGUGAAAUACGUAGAUAUUGGUAGGAACGCCGAUGACGAAGGUAGCUCUCUGGACCGAUACUGACGCUGAGGCGCGAAAGCUAGGGGAGCAAACAGGAUUAGAUACCCUGGUAGUCCUAGCUGUAAACGAUGGAUACUAGGUGUGGGCAAUAGUAUUGUCCGUGCCGGAGCAAACGCGAUAAGUAUCCCGCCUGGGGAGUACGGUCGCAAGACUAAAACUCAAAGGAAUUGACGGGGACCCGCACAAGCGGUGGAGCAUGUGGUUUAAUUCGACGCAACGCGAGGAACCUUACCAGGUCUUGACAUCGUAGGAAUCCGGUAGAGAUAUUGGAGUGCCUUUCGGGGAACCUAUAGACAGGUGGUGCAUGGCUGUCGUCAGCUCGUGCCGUGAGGUGUUGGGUUAAGUCCCGCAACGAGCGCAACCCCUAUUGCUAGUUACCAUCAUUAAGUUGGGGACUCUAGUGAGACUGCCUGCGACGAGCAGGAGGAAGGUGGGGAUGACGUCAAGUCAUCAUGCCCCUUAUGACCUGGGCUACACACGUGCUACAAUGGGCGGUACAGAGAGGAGCUAAGGAGUGAUCUGGAGCGAAUCUCAAAAAGCCGUUCUUAGUUCGGAUUGUAGUCUGCAACUCGACUACAUGAAGUUGGAAUCGCUAGUAAUCGCAAAUCAGCAAUGUUGCGGUGAAUACGUUCUCGGGUCUUGUACACACCGCCCGUCACACCACGAGAGUUUUUUGCACCUGAAGUUGCCGGCCUAACCUUCGGGAGGGAGGCACCUAAGGUGUGGGAAGUGAUUGGGGUGGCGUCGGAACAAGGUA